GAGGCGCCGCCAUUUCUCGGGCUGAACUUCUCCGAUCCCCUACCGUCCCUCCGGAUGCCGGUGGUGGCGGAGGAUGUAAGGAUGUCGGCGGGGAUGAUUGAUCAGACAGUGACGAUGGAUCUGCCGCCGAUGCACGCUGGCGGCGGGAUCGCCGCCCAGAUGGACUGGCCCGGGGCGAUGGAUCAAUCGCUGUUCGACUUCACCGGCGUUGUUGAUCCGGCCGGAGCGUACUGGAACCAUGGCCACUGGGGUGAUACUGAUCCUAAUCUCUAUCUCCCUUGAUGAAUUUCCGCUUAACCCCACUUUGAUUACUUAAAA
rnacentral:misc_RNA from 1 species